UGACUCGUUUAAAACAGAACGACAAACUCAAAGUUCAUGAAACAAAGCUUUUACAGGCAAGUGUGGAAAUGAACUUGAUGAUAAUGUCCCAAAUCAUGUCUAAACAGAUGGAAGACCAACCAUACACUAUUCUACAGAUAAAGAUCAUACACAACAAUGCGAUUGCAAAAUAUACAGCCCAAUUAAAGUGAAACUACACAAAAUUUGAACCCCAGUGUUAGUCUAUUGACUAAAAAUCAAGUGAACAUGAUCCAGAAAUAUAUUGACCUAAUGGAUGGAUUAAAUUUUUUCUGACAUAGUGGGAGAUGUUCGUACUAAUGACCAGAAGAUGAAGUGUCCUAAUGUCGUGAUACAAAUUUGGAAUAAACACAUUUGAGCCAAGAAGGCCAUAUUUGAGAGGAACUACCAAAACUAGAGUGUCCAUUCAUCAGUCAUAAUUAAUAGUUUAGCAUUCUUGUUCUUGUAACAAGAAUGUUAUUUAAUAGCAUCUGAAUACAGGGAAACUUUAAAAGUCAUCUCCAUAGGUCUGGUCUGAGGAAAAUCCAUGAAGAAUAUUUUGGGCUUUAAAUAGUCCACAGGCUACCAAAUUAACUAAAAAUCUGAGAACAAAGUGUAAAUUUGACAAGACUCGGACUCAAAGCUUUAAAUAAUGAUUCGGAAAGAGUGACCAGAAUCAAUUUAAAGCACAUUUAUGGUCUACACAUACGUUCGAAAUGUGUGGCUCAGUAAUUUCUCCAAAGGCUGAACUUUAGUGCAAAUAAAAGGUUCUCUUUUCCAGCCACAUCUCGCACA